UUCCUACGGGGCGCAGCAGUGGGGAAUAUUGCACAAUGGGGGAAACCCUGAUGCAGCGACGCCGCGUGAAGGAAGAAGUAUUUCGGUAUGUAAACUUCUAUCAGCAGGGAAGAAAAUGACGGUACCUGACUAAGAAGCCCCGGCUAACUACGUGCCAGCAGCCGCGGUAAUACGUAGGGGGCAAGCGUUAUCCGGAUUUACUGGGUGUAAAGGGAGCGUAGACGGCGAUGCAAGUCUGAAGUGAAAGGCGGGGGCCUAACCCCCGGACUGCUUUGGAAACUGUAUGGCUGGAGUGCAGGAGAGGG
rnacentral:rRNA from 1 species